CCGGCGGUAGCGCAGUCUGGUAGCGCGCCUGCUUUGGGAGCAGGAUGUCGGGGUUCGAAUCCUCCACCCGACCA
rnacentral:tRNA from 1 species